rnacentral:rRNA from 1 species
CUUGUCUUUAUCCGCCUAUAUACCGCCGUCGUCAGCUUACUCUGUGAAGACCCUAUAGUAGGCACAAUCGGCACAGCCCAAAACGCCAGGUCGAGGUGUAGCGUAUGGAAAGGGAAGAAAUGGGCUACAUUCAGUAAAUUAAUGCAUACGGAUGACAUCCUGAAAAAAAUGUCUGAAGGAGGAUUUAGCAGUAAGUAGAGAAUAGAGUGCUCUACUGAAUCUGGCCCUGAAGCGCGCACACACCGCCCGUCACUCUCCCCGAGCUAAUAACAACACAUAAUUAAUAAACUAGACCUGCAAAGGGGAGGCAAGUCGUAACAUGGUAAGUGUACCGGAAGGUGCACUUGGGUGAAC